rnacentral:lncRNA from 1 species
UUUUUACUCAUCUUCCCCAUUUUCAUCAUCUUCCCCAUUACACCAUAGAACUCACCAAAAAUUUUAAAAUUCAAAAUACCCAAAUCAUUCAUCCUCUUCCAUGUAACUAUGAUGAAGCUCAAAAAUCUGAAACUAAAAACCCCAAAUCGUUUAUCGUCUUCAAAAUUUUGUCCAAUCUCAAACUCACUUUCAUUUUCUCUCUCUAAGAGGAAGAACCAAAAACCCAAACCCAAACCCAGAAUUUUAGAAAUCUCAUGAGCAGAGGAAGAAACUAUCAUGAGCAGAGGAAGAACCAAAAAUCCAAACUCAGAUCUUCAUCUUCACCCCAAAAUUCAGAUCUGCCAUGGGAGAUGAGCACCGGAGGUUGGGUGGUGCUAGAGCCUAAAUUUGCCUCGUGUUUUGGAGUUGACGAUGUGAAUUUGUAUGAAUCUUCCAUGGACGUUUCAAAUGGAUUCCAUGUAUGAAUCCCAAAAUUCAGAUAUGCAAUUAUGGAGAAGGAAAUGGAUUUAGUUCCCUACAAAUCCAAUUUGGUCGAAAUCUAUAACUUUUCUUUUCAGUCCUCGUUUUCUCCAAAUUGGGUUUUAGUCUUUUUUAUUUUAUUUUAUUAUUCUAAGCUGGAUUGGACUGAUAGUGGUUUUGAUUUGUUUUUUUUAUUUUAUUAUUUGAUCUGCAAUAUUUUGGUAUUGUACUACUUAAUUUUGUUUAGUUCUUAUGUAUUUCUCCAAAUUGAGUUUUAG